UACGGGGGGGGUAAGCGUUGUUCGGAAUUACUGGGCGUAAAGGGCUCGUAGGCGGCCAACUAAGUCAGACGUGAAAUCCCUCAGCUUAACUGGGGAACUGCGUCUGAUACUGGAUGGCUUGGAUUUGGGAGAGGGACGCGGAAUUCCAGGUGGAGCGGUGAAAUGCGUAGAGAUCUGGAAGAACACCAAAGGCGAAGGCAGCGUCCUGGCGAGCAACUGACGCUCAUGUGCGAAAGCUAGAGGAGCGAACGGG
rnacentral:rRNA from 1 species